UGGGGAAUUUUGGACAAUGGGCGAAAGCCUGAUCCAGCCAUGCCGCGUGAGUGAAGAAGGCCUUCGGGUUGUAAAGCUCUUUUAGUCGGAAAGAAAGAGUUGCAAUGAAUAAUUGUGAUUUAUGACGGUACCGACAGAAAAAGCACCGGCUAACUACGUGCCAGCAGCCGCGGUAAUACGUAGGGUGCGAGCGUUAAUCGGAAUUACUGGGCGUAAAGGGUGCGCAGGCGGUCUUGCAAGUCAGAUGUGAAAGCCCCGGGCUUAACCUGGGAAUUGCGUUUGAAACUACAAGACUAGAGUGCAGCAGAGGGCAGUGGAAUUCCAUGUGUAGCAGUGAAAUGCGUAGAGUUGUGGAAGAACACCGAUGGCGAAGGCAGCUCCCUGGGUUGACACUGACGCUCAUGCACGAAAGCGUGGGGGGCAAACA
rnacentral:rRNA from 1 species